UACGUAGGGUGCAAGCGUUGUCCGGAAUUAUUGGGCGUAAAGAGCUCGUAGGCGGUCUGUCGCGUCGGCUGUGAAAACCCGGAGCUCAACUCCGGGCCUGCAGUCGAUACGGGCAAACUGGAGUGUUGCAGGGGAGACUGGAAUUCCUGGGUGUAGCGGUGAAAUGCGCAGAUAUCAGGAGGAACACCGAUGGCGAAGGCAGGGUCUCUGGGCAUUAACUGACGCUGAGGAGCGAAAGCAUGGG
rnacentral:rRNA from 1 species